GUCAACUGCCACCACCCUAAAGGGUAGUAGCUUGUAAAAGCUAGUUGAAUAGCCUAAGUUUACACUACGUUAUGUAAGAAUAUAUAGGUACUUUAGGAUACUUCUCUAGUCCUAAACUCUACGGUAUAUCAUUAAACAUCACUGAUGGCAGGUGAAGUGUGGUAUAUUUAAAACCUUUCAUAACAUUGGCGAAGAGAGCUUAC
ncrna:Clostridium difficile QCD-63q42 HNH endonuclease-associated RNA and ORF (HEARO) RNA